rnacentral:rRNA from 1 species
AGAGUUUGAUCCUGGCUCAGAACGAACGUUGGCGGCGUGGAUUAGGCAUGCAAGUCGAACGAAGACGGGGUAGCAAUAUCCCGGACUGAGUGGCGAAAGGGGCAGUAAAGCGUGGGCAACCUACCUCCGGGACGGGGAUAGCCUUCCUAACGGGAGGGUAAUACCCGGCGACGUAGUCGCGGGGCAUCUCGUGACUACCA